rnacentral:rRNA from 1 species
AGAAUCAACGCUGGCGGCGUGCCUAACACAUGCAAGUCGAUCGAGAAAGUGGAGCAAUCCAUGAGUAAAGAGGCGCACGGGUGAGUAACACGUGACUAACCUACCUUCGAGUGGGGAAUAACCUGGGGAAACCCGGGCUAAUACCGCAUAAUACCUACGGGUCAAAGGAGCAAUUCGCUUGAAGAGGGGGUCGCGGCAGAUUAGUUAGUUGGCGGGGUAAUGGCCCACCAAGACGAUGAUCUGUAUCCGGCCUGAGAGGGCGCACGGACACACUGGAACUGAAACACGGUCCAGACUCCUACGGGAGGCAGCAGUGGGGAAUUUUGCGCAAUGGGGGAAACCCUGACGCAGCAACGCCGUGUGGAGGAUGAAGUCCCUUGGGACGUAAACUCCGUUUCGACCGGGACGAUUAUGACGGUACCGGAUGAAGACGCCCGGCUAACUUCGCGCCAGCAGCCGC